GCCCUCUUAGCUCAGUGGUAGAGCGCGUCACUCGUAUCUUCAGUACAUGACGAGGUCAGUCGUUCAAGUCGGCUAGGGGGCA